rnacentral:SRP_RNA from 1 species
UCGUGCUAGACGGGGAGCUAGCGGUGCCCUGUACCCGCAAUCCGCUUUAGCGGGGUUGAACUCCCCCGUCAGGCCCGACGUCUUGGGUCACUGCCGCGUCGGGCGGCGUCGAUAGCCGGGUCCUGCGCGGCGGGGUCUUGUGAAACCCGUCAGGUCCGGAAGGAAGCAGCGGUAAACGAGAUACCUCGGGCGCCGUGGGUUCGCCUGGCUUGAGCCGCUCGAAAUGCGCAAACCCCGGGCUGCGGGACGAAGCGGGGGUGCACGA